GACGAACGCUGGCGGCGUGCCUAACACAUGCAAGUCGAACGGAGUUAAUGAUUACGAUUGUUAACUUAGUGGCGCACGGGUGAGUAACGCGUGAGCAACCUGACCUUCAGAGGGGGAUAACACUUAGAAAUGGGUGCUAAUACCGCAUAAGACCACGAAGUCGCAUGGCUAUGGGGUCAAAGAUUUAUCGCUGAAGGAGGGGCUCGCGUCCCAUUAGGUAGUUGGUGAGGUAACAGCUCACCAAGCCGACGAUGGGUAGCCGAGCUGAGAGGCUGAUCGGCCACACUGGAACUGAGACACGGUCCAGACUCCUACGGGAGGCAGCAGUGGGGAAUAUUGGGCAAUGGGCGCAAGCCUGACCCAGCAACGCCGCGUGAGGGAAGAAGGUUUUAGGAUUGUAAACCUCUGUUGUAAGGGAAGAAGAAAGUGACAGUACCCUAUCAGAAAGCCCCGGCUAACUACGUGCCAGCAGCCGCGGUAAUACGUAGGGGGCGAGCGUUGUCCGGAAUUACUGGGCGUAAAGGGAGCGUAGGCGGCUCUGUAAGUUGGAUGUGAAACCCCCGGGCUUAACCCGGGACGUGCAUUCAAAACUGCGGAGCUUGAGUACAGGAGAGGGAAGCGGAAUUCCUAGUGUAGCGGUGAAAUGCGUAGAUAUUAGGAGGAACACCAGUGGCGAAGGCGGCUUUCUGGACUGACACUGACGCUGAGGCUCGAAAGCGU
rnacentral:rRNA from 1 species